GGAUGCAAGGGUGAUCUGGUUGCAACAUUGGUCAAUUCAUUGAUCGGUAGGGUUCAGUUGGCUGAUUUGGCUGGCUAGGCAAGUAUCCCCUUCCUCCCUCCAUAUGCAUCUCUCCCAAAGCUGCAUGCUUGGUGGAAGAAGGAAUAGGAGUGUACCAAUCUUCAUUCAAGGGUACCUUAAU
rnacentral:snRNA from 1 species